rnacentral:rRNA from 1 species
CCCUUAGAUGUCCUGGGCCGCACGCGCGCUACACUGAGUGUCUGAGAUACGAGUCUGCCUGGUCCGGCAAGGUCCAGGUAAUCGCUAAAAGACACAUCAUGCUUGGGAUAGAUUAUUGCAAAUAUUAAUCUUGAACGAGGAAUUCCUAGUAAGCGCAAGUCAACAGCUUGCGUUGAUUACGUCCCUGCCCUUUGUACACACCGCCCGUCGCUACUACUGAUUGGAUGUUUAAGCGAGGUUCUCGAACUGCUAGCGACUUAGCUUCGGUGAGGUCGCAGUGUGGGAAGUGAACCUAGCUUUGGUGUCUAGAGGAAGUAAAAGUCGUAACA